GGAGUAUGCAAAUCCUGAUCCUUGGGGCAGGAGUAGCACAAUCUAGAGGGUUUGCCAGGUGUGAAAAGAAGGAUGUACAAGAAGAGAUGAGACCUUUGCAGGAAGAUACAUUGCUGCAGAUUUUGAAAAAGGAGUGGAAGCUUUAGAGUAGAAAAGAAAAGGAAGGGAAGCAAAAAAAAGACUGGGACUUUGUCUGAAGAUACUUCACCCAAAGUUUCAUUAACAGUGAAAAGGAAUUUAUCUUUCAAAAUAUUCGGGCAUCUGUUAAAGUGUUACCUGUGCUCUAUGGUCCCACCGCAUUACCACUGAAGACUAAUCAUUCUUUUUGAACUCUGAUUUCUGCUUUUUUCUGAGUGGAGAUACCAUUAGCUCAGCAAAAACAAGCAAACAAACAACAACAACAAAAAAACCCCAACCAAACCAAUGUCCCUUUGGAGAUGAUUUAACUCAGCUAGAAGCAGUCCAUUUCCCCAAUCCAGUUAUGUCUGGAACUCAUCAGGAACCAGUUGUGAGUCGGUGGUGGUGAUGUGAGCUCAUGUCUUGAGUGAGAUGAAUCAAGACCAUGAAACUUAUAGCUUACUUUCUGACAGCUUUUUAUGACACCUAGCUUUACACCUAAAAUGGUGUAGGAAAAAGCUGCACAACCUUAUUCAGCCAGUCUAUCAGUAAAAACAUGUUUAUGCAGCAAGACCUGCAAGAAAACAUACUGCAAGCAUUCAACAAGAGGAACUCAAGACCUUUAUAGAAAAUUAAGGAACAGGAAACUCAGAACUUCUAUUUUACCACGAUAAUAAUAAUAAUUGUGCUCUGUACAUUUGAGGUUAUGAAAGAGGAAAAAUAUCAGAUUCAAUUGAAACAUUGCAUCUUGAAACACGGUGCUACUAAAAAGGAAUUUUAUAACAUAAUUACAUUCCCAUUAAUAUGUUAAUCUCUUAUACACAGACAUAGAGAAGCAAAUACAUUACUUUAAAUAAUUAACUCUGUAGUGAGUUUUAUUGCUGGAGAAAAAAAGAUUUCUCUGUGGCAGGGUAUUUAACACUUUAAUUAAACUCCUUUUGAUAGAUGUUUACUGUUGCUUCUAUUUUUGCUUAAAACAAACCCAUUCAAUUAGGAGAAAAUGUAAUUUCAUCAGGAGAAAGAAAUGAUUCCCUUCUGAAGGAAGGUCUAAGGUUCCCUCUCCUUUGCUGUCUCAGUCAGCGUAAGGCAGUGAUACAGUGUGUUUUAAGAGACCUGCAUCUGUUACAAAAAGAUUUUAUUUUCCUUUUUUUUUCCUAUAAUUUCUUUCUUUUUGUGCCAAUGAACCUUGCCAUUGUAUUUGACCUCCUACUAGAAGGUUGCUUGUGUUUUGAUGAAAGGAGGUAGCUCUAAAAGGAUUAAAAAAAAAAAACACACACACACACACAAAAAACAUUUAAAUGCUUAGGUAAAAUCUGCUGAAGGGAGCAACAGUGUGGGAAAAGUUUUGACAUAUGUUUUGAAAAAAGUGUAAGUCCUAUAGACGGCAAAUAUAAGACUCCCUUUCUACAAGUCAUCUAGAUGACACAUGCAUGAGAUCUAUGAAUUAUUUACAUGGGAAAAUAGCUUUCCAUCACUUGAAGCAGCGAAGAGAGAUAAGAACUGAGUCUAUUUGCCUUAAAAGAAAUUAAAUAUAUACAAAAAAGCUCUCUUUCACUUGCAUUAAUAAUGUUUUAUUGGAGGAAAAAAAAAAGUAAAAGCCAGAAGUCUAUAGUGAGUGGACAGCAUCGACUAUAAGGAUUUGAAGUGCUGGAAAAUACACAGAUGUUAAAGCAAACAGCCGUAGCCCCAACAGAGUUGUCCUGUGGAAAAUUAGUCUUCUGAAGCCUGUCUCUCUGGGAUAUCUCAGCUGGUGGUGUGGGCCAGCUUGUUUACCGCCAGGCAAGAUUCUCUCAGUGAAUAUGCAAACCCUGUGGCACUGGCAAAUAUGGUAAUUGUCACUCACAGACCAGAAAUCAUACACUACAAAUCUACUUCUUGAGGCUGGACAAGCUUGAGUGCUGUGACAUGAACACAAUCAGAAAAUUUCUAGAUGUAAUUCUGAUGUACAUGCUGAUGAGUUGAAUGGGUGUGAAGAAGGGAAUUUUUGAAGGAUAACCCUUUAUCUCAAAGAGAAACAACAAAACUGACAAAUGUUGGAUGCUGCAGAACAGCACAGAUUAGGAGUCUCCUGGACCACCUGUCCAUGAACAACAGAGUGAGUAGUUCUGAUGAGCUCCGUGUUCAUUUGAAAUCAUCUGCCUACAGACAGAAAGGAGGAGGAGACACCAUUAAAUAGUUAUUUAUUUCUGAGUCCACCAUUAAAGAGGGGGUGAAGGGAGAAGGUGGUGACUUUGGGUGAGCCUGUAGAAGGUACAGUCAUUGCUGAUAAACAGUAAUAAACUGGCAGCCUGAUAAACUGAUGCAGUGGAGAAGAGGAUGUAAACAACACUGUCUAUGCAACUGCAUGUCAAGCUGUGGUUUUUAGCUCUUUAAAAGAGGCAGCAUGCAGGGAGUGUCAGGAGAUAGUCUUCAGGUUUCAUUGGUAUUCUCCUGUGGUACAUGUUCCCUUCUGAUCUGGAAGUCACAUACCCAAAUUGGUGAGCUCUGUUUCACAUGCUUGUGUUAUCUGUCAC
rnacentral:lncRNA from 7 species